rnacentral:piRNA from 1 species
UCAAACGCUGAUAGAACGUAGUCUAUGACCA